rnacentral:lncRNA from 1 species
CGGAAGACCGAACGAAGAGGCGAAUCCUCCGAAAUCGAGGGAACCUGUUUUUACCCAGAAGCUCUCUGGCCCGACGCACGGGACUUGGAGUCCCGGGGCUCGGUUCCGCAACCCUUCAGAAAGCGCAGCCGCUCUCGUGAGCCCGCUCCUGCGGAAUUUCCAUGCCGCCGCAUCGCUUCUAAAGAUUUUCCAAAAUUGCACGUUCAAUACUAAUUAGCCGAAAGUGUCCUCGGGGAUAUAGUUCCGGGGCAGAUAAAAGAGCUGAAAACCCACUCUCGGUUGGGCGAUGACUAAAAAGUGUCACGAAAACGAGAUCGCACUCGAGUAAUUGAAGCAUCAGAGUGCGGAGAGAGCUCGUUGAAAAUUGAACUCGCUCGCGAGCUCCGUGUCGGGCGCUAGAGGCCGGAAUAUAAAUAAUGUAUCGACGCCGCGUGGAAUUUUCAGAGUGCGCGAGCAAGAGCGAAGCUUGUCAAUGAACAGUUGGAAGCCGAACAGAGCGAGAACCGCGCGGCCUCAGGGGUCCUCGUCGCCGUUUCGUCCGGGCGCAGGGGCGAGCGAGAGCUCAAAAUAUCCGACGAUAUGAGAUGAUUACGAGCCGGUGGAGCCGAGAAGGGUAGUUUUGCUCUCGGUGGAUAUAAAACACAUGAAAAAUCGCGUGUGAGUGGGAUUCGUGCGCGGCGAUCGAUAGCUUACCCGCGGAGACGAGAGAGAGAGAGAGAGAGAGUCCCGCGCGAGCAGAGCAGAGGGAUGAAGCGGAGAUAUACGCAAGAGACGACAGCAGCGGGGACGAGGAUGCGGGCGAGCGAAGCGCGGAGUCAACGUCGAGAGUGCUCGUGACGACCGCUUUAAUUAUUUCUCGCACGCGCUCAUCUCAUUCCAUGCACAGAGAGCACUGACAUUCGUGUGUGUAGACGCGAGCUUAAGGCGAUCUCGCAGUGACAUUUCCAUACCAACGAAAGCUCCGCCGGGCAUGCUCGUGCUAACGAGUCCGCAUUACACGAGCUCUCGCAUCCUUCCAGCAUCAGUGAAAACCGCCUUAUUUCAUUGUCUGUACUUGCACCAAUUAAACGCGAGCAUUCUUCCUCUCGGGAUGUUCGAUCAAACUCCUCCUCGAUUUUAGUUUUAGUACUCGCCCGGCACAUCGAUUUCGGAUGGAAUAUUUAUGCCGAGGGUGCGUCCACGCUCGGCGCUCCAUUCUCGUGUUAUUUGCGGAAAGAAAGCUCCCGAGCAACGAAUCUCGGAUGAGGGGACCCGGCCGAAAUGUGUGCCGGAAUAAUUGGUUUCCAGAUCCCUGGGAUCGCCCGGUAAAUGCGAGAUGGGAAGUAGAAACGCGGAUUUAUAAGGCAGGCCUGGUCUGCGGGCCAGAGUAUAGCGUGAACGGCUCGAUGCUGCUCGAACCGCGUGAAAAGCGAGCGCAUCAUCAGGCGGCUCCGUUCUCUCUCGCGUGUUUCAAUAUUAUGAGCAUUCGUUUGCCAAUAUCGGACGAACAAACACCUGGCAAUAUUUGACCAAUACACGGGGAAGUUUAUCAAGUGGGGAAGCCUCUGGUAAAUCGAGUCGCGGGGCGUCGAGACUAUUUCCGAGAAAACUCAUUGUACGAGUGCCCCAAUUGUGUGUUUGGCAAAUAUUGAAGUUCGAACUCGCUGUUAAAACAAUCGAGGAACACCGUUGUUUUAAUAUCCCUCGACUGUCGCGGAAAAAUAGCCGCUGGAAAGAACCGCCGCGAGCCCCCGAGAAGCGAGCUGGCCAACCGAGGAGCUUCCCCGGCGAAGCAUCCACCCGCGGCUGAGAUUACAUAAUUCGAGAAAAUUCACGCUGAGACAGCACGCUGCGAAUCGGCAAUGUAAAAAAUAAGCGAAAUACUAGGCUGCUCGCCUUUUCGAAGCCAACGACGACGCUGGACCGGACACGAGAGAAGCUUCUAGUGGCGGAGCUCUCCGGCGUUAACGCCACUGGGUAUCCCUUCAAGCGCACACAAGAGGGAAAGAGAAGCGGCUCGAAGGAGCGAGGAGGGUGCAAGAGGGCGAGAGAAAGAGAUACCACACCCUUUGUGCUAAAAUUAGAAAUGACGAUAGAGUGUAUUCACUCCGUUGGCUUCGCGAGGCUGCUGCUGCUGCUGCUUCUACCUGUACACUUUUUUCCACGAGCGUAUGACCACACAACCUGUGCUAUAUUCACUCCCGGCAUGUGCGAAGAAACGAUCAUACCGAGAGGAGAAAGAAAGAGAGAAAAUCUUGCGCGUUAUACGGAGCUAAAUGUGCUGAUGCUGUGAGCUGGGAGGAAAACCUUUUGCACAAAUCAACAACGUUGCACGAUCGACUUUUCCAUCAGUCGAGAGCGCUCUCGCGUGUGUAUACUCAAUUUCGAUAUUAUUU